rnacentral:lncRNA from 1 species
CAGAGUAGGAAAAUUAUGAACGAAUGUAGGUAAAAUUAUCAGAACUGCUAAGCUAUUGAGAAGUUUUGAUCCAUAUUGCUAAUAGAUUCCAUUACAUGGUAAUAUAGAAAUCAGCCCAGAACUAGAGCAAGUAAAGGGCAAACAAUCGUGCAUUAGAGGUUUGCAAGAGGCUUCUCAGCCAAUUUUUGAGUACACAGUGGUAAAGCACGCGCACUGUGCAAAAUGAAUUCACGUUUGCAACCAGUACGACUCGAGUUGAACAAGAAAGUUUUCCACUCUCAUCAGCGCUGUGUCGAAGAUCCAUGUACUUAAGAUCUUCAUUAAUGGAACCCCUGGUUAUACCAUCCUCGAUCGCCCUCCCAUCAUCAACCUCCUCCUGACUGUCCAUCACAUCAACAAAAACCCGCAUGAUGUGAUCCCUCGAUACCUCAUAUAGGCCCCGAAACUUGCAGGGUCUUCUUCAGCUCCUCCUGACAUAGUUGAUAUCUCGGCCCUUCUUCUUCCACUUUGCACGUUUCAGAAUCCUGCAUCUAGCUCCACCGCCCGUUAACUGAACUUCCGAACGGCUCGACGUCCACACGCGACGCAAAUGCACAACUGGAUCGCUUGAAGGCUCUGUA